rnacentral:sRNA from 1 species
ACUUAAAGAAUCUUCACAAUGUCUACUGAAGGCAAAGGAGACAAUGACAUGCGCAGUGAAUUGCAAGAACUGCAAAUGCAGGCUAAUCUGAUUACAGAUGAGAUGGAUGACACUUUUUGAGGCGCCCUCUGAAGUCAGUGUUUCUGUAAACUGAAAGACAACUAUUGACUUUCUCAUUAGAUACUUCACCAGCUGCAGUUGACAAUCAAUGAACGUAAUGGCCAUGUUCGUAAACUGUAUAUAAAUACUUACAUCAUUGA